AUGCGCACACUCGACAUCGUCGGAUUUUCUGCAGCAGCACCAACAUCCACCAAGAAAAAAAAAUCCCAACUUGUUUCACCUCGCCGCAGGAUCUUUACGCGCAGCGGUGCCGACAUGUUGAGGAUGCUGAGAUGAGCCUUGCGCGGCUCUCCAUGCUGCCGAAACCUCUCCUCCUCCUCCUCCUCCUCAUCUUCCUCCUCCUCUCUUCCUCCUGAUGAGGGGAGCAAAGAGGACGAAAACAAGGCUGCCUCAUGUGUUCUUUUCCGAAAAGGAGAUGGCAAAGGUGGAGCGAUUAGAGCUGGGCUCAUGACGGAACGAGUAAUCCUUUCAGUGCACCAAAGAGAUUUGGAAACGUUUGGAUGGAAUUUGGGCGAGUGUCUGCUACGAGAACAGUUUUUGGUCUUGUAUGAAACCGGCGAUUAGUUGCUGCCACACAUUCUUCCCUAAUGACUGCAUCGAGGAGAUUGAUUUGAAAGGGGCGAGUGGUUUCUCUGCGCGAAUUUCCCCUAAAACUCACCUCUUGUUUUCUCUCCUCAAGUACUCCACAUCUAAAUGGAAUUAGUUGAGUCUGCGGCCGUUUGUGAAAGGAACAGACAUGGUACAUGGACACAGCUUCCAUCACGUUGUCGCAAGUCUUAUCCUCCUCGGCUUGUCCGGCGCAACAAAGAGAGGCACAUCAGUGAAAAACAAUUCCGGGGUGAAGCCAGCUGAUCAGUGUGGAACGUGGGUGAAAGAACCAGAAGGAGGUCUCUUCACUUCUCCCAACUACCCAAGCAAAUACCCACCGGAUACAGAGUGCGUGUACAUACUUGAAGCCCCGCCAAGGCAGUGCAUCGAGCUCCACUUUGAGGAGCACUAUUCCAUCGAGUCCUCUUGGGAAUGUAAAUUUGACAACAUCGAAGUUCGCGAUGGACCUUUCGGCUUCUCUCCCAUACUCGGACGCUAUUGCGGUCAGCACAGCCCGCCGGAUAUCAGGAGUGGCGGCCGCUACCUGUGGAUAAAAUUUGUUACGGAUGGCGAAUUGGAGGCGGUGGGAUUUUCAGCCAGUUACAACUUCACUGCAGAUCCUGACUUUGCAGACUUGGGAGUACCACCACCUCUACCCGCAUGUCAGUACGACAUGGUCGGCCCAGAAGGUAUUGUGGAGUCUCAUCAGAUCACCAGAGACGGGAAGGCUGGCGCCAACGAGGCCGUCGACUGCAAAUGGUACAUCCGGGCGCCACCACGCUCCAAGAUCUACCUACGUUUCCUCGACUAUGAGAUGGCCAAUUCCAAUGAGUGCAAGCGCAACUUUGUGGCAGUGUAUGACGGCGGCAGCUCGGUGGAGGACCUGAAGAGCAAGUUCUGUUCUACGGUGGCCAAUGACCUCAUGUUGGUGUCGACCUUGGGUGUCAUUCGAAUGUGGGCGGAUGAGGCCAGCCGCAAAAGUCGCUUCCGCAUCCUUUUCACGACCUACCAAGAACCUCCGUGUGAUCCAGAUGCCUUCUUCUGUCACAGUAACAUGUGCAUAAACAACACACUGGUGUGCAACGGCCAGCAGAACUGCGUGUACCCCUGGGAUGAGAAUCAGUGUAAAGAGAACACGAAAGCCAACAUCCUGGACAACCUGAACAACACCAACGGGACCAUCAUCGGCGUCACCUGCUGCAUUGUCCUUCUCCUCCUCAUCAUCUCGGUUAUCGUCCAAAUCAAGCAGCCUCGCAAAAAGUACAUCCUGCGGCGUGAGGACUUUGACCCCACCAUGUUCCAAGAGGUCUUUGAGCCGCCUCACUACGAGCUGUGCACUUUGCGCAGCGCCACCGCUGCCGCCGCCUCAGCAGACCUCGUGGACCUUGCGGAAGACUUUGAGAGCUACCACGCCCUCCGCCGUGCCUCCUCACGCUGCAUCCACGACCACCACUGUGGCUCCUCCACCAACCCGUGCUCGGCCCACAUAUCCCAGCUGUCCCUCAGCGGGCGAGGGAGCCGCGGGAAUCUGAGCGCGCGGGACCCGACGGCGGGCGGCCUCCUGGCGGACCUGCCGCAGCCGCCCAUGUCCGUGCGGCCCCUCUUGCCGAGCGCGGCGAACCGUAGGAGCAUCUUGGUCAUGAAGCACAGCUACUCGCAAGAGGGAGCGGACAAUGGAUGCGACCUGGACGACGACCUGGAUGAAGUUCCCACCACCAGCCACCGGCUUUCACGCCACGAAAAGGCAGUACAGCGGUUCUGCCUCAUUGGCUCUUUGAGCAAACAUGAAUCAGAGUACAACACAACUAGGGUCUGAGAGACAAUCUCAAGGUAAGCCCUCCUCGUCCAACUAUUUUGAUGAUGUCGAUUGUUGUGUAGUUCUCAUUGGCACAGUUUGCUUUCAAGAAUGGAUGCCCCCCCCACCCCCGCUGUUUGUGAUUUUUACAAUUCAUUUUUAUCUUUACUAAGAUGGUUUUCUUGCCUGCAACCAUCUGGCCGUUUCAGUGUGUUUGUUUGAACAUGGAAUGCUCAAUUUUACUGCAUGCGUUUUCUUUGUUUGUUUCUUUGUUUUUUUUUUCUGGUGGACAAAACUGGAGACUAAGUGGAUGCUUGAUCUGCAUGGACUUUUUUCUUUCAUUUUCAAGCUUGAUUUUCAUUUGCUACCAGUCAUGAUGGGUUAACCUUUUUGUUUUCCCCCUACAGCAAAAAUGAGCAACAUAUUGUAAAAAGUCUACAAGAUGUGAGGUUUUAUAGCAAACUGUGUUUCGGUGACAUCAGCACAUAAUCUGAAGCCUUGUCAAUGGCUGCAUUUUAGUGAAGCCCAACUUUCAUAUUUCAAAAUAUAUUUUAUAGAUGAACGCUUGAAAUGACACAAGAAAAUGGAAAAAGACUUUUAAGGCAUCCCGUUCAUCAAUUUCUGUAAAUUCUGUACCACAUAUCCUGGAGGAGCCUAUCAACUUAUUUAAUCCAUCAUUAAUGAUGGUUUAUAAGCAGCAGUCUGUCAUGACAGCCUUCUUUGUCUUUUAGUAUGAAAACAUUAUUAUGUUAAAAAAAAUCUCAACCUUAGUAUGUGUGCGUGUGUGUGCGCGUGCUCGCACUUACAUUCUACAUCGUGUCACAUUUUCUUCUAUACUUACAAGUUGGUUUGUCUCCUAACAAUCGCCGUAGGAAGCUUAAUGUCUAUGUAUAAAACCCAACUUUUCUACUCAGGCAAAAUAAGAUUUUUUUUUUUAAUGUUAUUCUAACGAUCCUUCAGGGCUGCUCUUAUUGAUGCUUUGUAACAGUAUUAAUCUUAAAUAACAAUAAAGCACUGUUUUUUUUUGUUGCUUUGUUCAACUUGUCUCAUUAUGUAAAUCUGCCAUGCACGCAUGCCGUCGUCGCUCACAGAUAUAAUUAGCGCUUUGAAAUGUGUGUUUCUUGUUUGCUUUGUGGAGUAGCCCACCAAACUGAAACGUGAUGUUUCUUUAUUUAUUUAUCCUCCGGAAAUUCACAUUGACUUUAAUCAAAAAUUUAACCGUGGUGUUGUUAGGAUUAUGAGGUUAAGACAACCGCCUUGGGGAGGGAUCAUCUAUUGUAAAAUUGGUUUUGGAGUUAAAACCUGCACCAAACAUACAUACACUCAUGCAAAGCAAAUUUGCAUGUACGUAAACUCUACACAAAAUACUUGCAGAGUUUUUUUUCUGCUAUGUAUACACAUACAUUUUUGCUAUGCAUAUGCAUUUUUACUCUAAGAAUUAAAGUCCACAAUCACAUUCUCGCUGCAGUUCUUGAAAAGUAGCCUUUCCUCUUGUGACUGGCUGGAAACUGGUCCAGGUUGUACUCCACCUCCUGCCCUAAGUCACCCUCAGAUCACCCAUGACCCAAAUGAGGACCAAUGGGAGAUCAAAUGGAUGGAUGAUGACCUCAGCGAAAAUAAAAACUGUGUCCCAGUUAUUUGCGAGAUGGGUCUUCCAUUUCAGUCGACCUCUCUUUUUUUCUCCCAUGAAUUGGCUGUCAUUACCGACUGACUGAAACCACCGCGUGCCAUGCAUUAUUUCAGGGCAUCUUUAAAACUUUGCUUGUGCUCUGUGCACGCUACGUUUUAGUGUCUUUUGACUCUUUUUGAAAUCACACACCUAAUCUCUUUUAAAUAGAUGGAAGCAGACAUCUCGCUUAAAAUAAGUACGUCUGGACCAUUUUAUCACAAGCAGAUUAAAAAUAAAAAGAAGGAAAGGGAACAAAAAGCAUGCAAGGCCCAGAAAAGAAGGGAGUAGAAGUAAUGGUGUUUUUAUUUCUCAACAGAUACAUCAGACAGGUGCAUCAUUCCUCUGCAUCUUGCCAAGUUUGACAGCAUUUGGAGGUCUCUCUCCCUUGUGAAUCUUCUGUGAACUAAUAUGGCUGAGUAAUUAGAGUGAUGAAGGAGGCGAACGCAUCAAGUUGUUUCUUUGCUUCACACCACACAGGUGUUUUGUUCCUGUACCUGUGGACCACAUCUGGCAAGGAUGAACUAGCCAUGGAGUAUUGAUAAAUGACUGAAACCAGAGAAUACCUUUAAUGUAAAGCAGUUCAUGAAGAAGAAAAAAAAAACACAUAAAUCAGGUUUUUACAAAUUAUUUUCAUGCUUCAGUUAAACGUUCCAUGUUUAUUUAUAGACUGGGUGCUGCGUGAGGUGCUUACAUGUCUAAAAGUUGAUGUGUGGAAAUGAAGUGAUGAAUUUCAUUAAUAAACGCUUCUCAUAGGUAGCAUAUGUCUGGGCAUUAUAAUUUCUUAGUUUGUCACUCUUGAUCAUUACAUUUUCAUUUAAUAGAGUCAUCUACAUAUUGAUUUGAUAUUAUAAAGAUAAUGCUGGACAGACUAUUUAAAUAAACAAACCUUUACUGAU